rnacentral:rRNA from 1 species
UAUGUGAUCGUCUCUCGCAUAUCAAUAAGCGGAGGAAAAGAAACUAACAAGGAUUCCCCUAGUAACGGCGAGUGAAGCGGGAAGAGCUCAAAUUUGAAAUCUUAAAGGGUUUCCCUUUACGAAUUGUAGUUUAAAGAAGUGUUUUCUGUUGAGGUUUUGGUAAAAGUUCUUUGGAAUAGGACAUCAUAGAGGGUGAGAAUCCCGUAUUUGACCUUUACUUUCAACUUUGUGAUACACUUUCAAAGAGUCGGAUUGUUUGGGAAUGCAGUCCAAAAUGGGUGGUAAAUUUCAUCUAAAGCUAAAUAUUGGCGAGAGACCGAUAGCGAACAAGUACCGUGAGGGAAAGAUGAAAAGAACUUUGAAAAGAGAGUUAAACAGUACGUGAAAUUGUCAAAAGGGAAGCGUUUGACACCAGUGUUGUUUUUCUGAAAAUCAAUUAAAGAACUGUUUAUGCUAAGCUUGUUUAGACUUUAUCAGCUAUCUGCUUUAGUUUUGAGCUUUUCUUUAAUGCACUUUUCAGUUAACAAGUCAACAUCAAUUUCUUUUGCUGUAAAAAAGCUUGAGGAAGGUGGCUUGAGAUUCGUCUUAAGUGUUUAUAGCCUCUUGCCUAUGCAGUCGGAGAGAUUGAGGUCUGCAGCGUAGAUCCUUCGGGGCUAAGUGCAUUUGUGCUAAGUUAUAGCAUUUUAUAGACAACUUGUUGACUAUGAUUUGUCUUGUAGCUUACUCGCUUAUGUUAUUUUACCUACGCUUAGGAUGUUGAAGAUAUGCGCGACACG